GACGAACGCUGGCGGCGUGCCUAAUACAUGCAAGUCGAACGCAGUGGGGACGGGUGAGUAACACGUGGGUAACCUCCCAUCAGAGGGGAUAACACUUGGAAACAGGUGCUAAACCGAUACUGAUGGAUGGACCCGCGGUGCAUUAGCUAGUUGGUGAGGUAACGGCUCACCAAGGCCACGAUGCAUAGCCGACCUGAGAGGAGGACCAGCCACACUGGAACUGAGACACGGCCCAGACUCCUACGGGAGGCAGCAGUGGGGAAUAUUCCGCAAUGGGCGAAAGCCUGAUGCAGCCAUGCCGCGUGUAUGAAGAAGGCCUUCGGGUUGUAAAGUACUUUCAGCGGGGAGGCGUUACCCGCACAAGAAGCACCGGCUAACUCCGUGCCAGCAGCCGCGGUAAUUC
rnacentral:rRNA from 1 species